AUCUAUAUAGUAUAAAGUAUAUGUGACUUCCAAUCAUAAGGUCUAUUAAAAUAGUGUAGAUA
rnacentral:tRNA from 1 species